GAUGAACGCUGGCGGCGUGCCUAAUACAUGCAGGUCGAGCGAACAGACGAGGAGCUUGCUCCUCUGACGUUAGCGGCGGACGGGUGAGUAACACGUGGAUAACCUACCUAUAAGACUGGGAUAACUUCGGGAAACCGGAGCUAAUACCGGAUAAUAUAUUGAACCGCAUGGUUCAAUAGUGAAAGACGGUUUUGCUGUCAGUUAUAGCUGGAUCCGCGCCGCAUUCGCUAGUUGGUAAGGUAACGGCUUACCCAGGCGACGAUGCGUAGCCGACCUGAGAGGGUGAACGGCCACACGGGAACUGAGACACGGUCCAGACUCCGACGGGAGGCAGCGGUAGGGAAUCUUCCGCAAUGGGCGAGAGCCUGACGGAGCAACGCCGCGUCAGUGAUGAAGGUCUUCGGAUCGGAAAACGCUGUUAGUAGGGAAGAACAAAUGUGUAAGUAACUAUGCACAUCUUGACGGUACCUAAUCAGAAAGCCACGGCUAACUACGUG
rnacentral:rRNA from 1 species